UACGUAGGGCGCAAGCGUUGUCCGGAAUUAUUGGGCGUAAAGAGCUCGUAGGCGGCUUGUCACGUCGGAUGUGAAAACCCGGGGCUCAACCCCGGGCCUGCACCCGAUACUGGCGGGCUGGAGGCAGGUAGGGGAGAUCGGAAUUCCCGGUGUAGCGGUGAAAUGCGCAGAUAUCGGGAGGAACACCGGUGGCGAAGGCGGAUCUCUGGGCCUGUCCUGACGCUCAGGCGCGAAAGCUAGGGGAGCAAACAGG
rnacentral:rRNA from 1 species